rnacentral:rRNA from 1 species
CCCUUAGACGUUCUGGGCCGCACGCGCGCUACACUGACCAGUGCAACAAGCAUCCGUCCUUGGCCGACAGGCUCGGGCAAUCUUUAAACGCUGGUCGUGAUGGGGAUAGACUUUUGCAAUUUUUGGUCUUCAACGAGGAAUUCCUAGUAAACGCAAGUCAUCAACUUGCAUUGAUUACGUCCCUGCCCUUUGUACACACCGCCCGUCGCACCUACCGAUUGAAUGGUCCGGUGAAGCCUCCGGAUUGGCGCGCACCUCGGUGCCGCCGAGAAGUUGGCUAAACCUUACCAUUUAGAGGAAGGUGAAGUCGUAACA